rnacentral:rRNA from 1 species
GACGAACGCUGGCGGCGUGCCUAAUACAUGCAAGUAGAACGCUGAAGGAGGAGCUUGCUUCUCUGGAUGAGUUGCGAACGGGUGAGUAACGCGUAGGUAACCUGCCUGGUAGCGGGGGAUAACUAUUGGAAACGAUAGCUAAUACCGCAUAAGAGUAGAUGUCGCAUGACAUUUGCUUAAAAGGUGCAAUUGCAUCACUACCAGAUGGACCUGCGUUGUAUUAGCUAGUUGGUGAGGUAACGGCUCACCAAGGCAACGAUACAUAGCCGACCUGAGAGGGGGAUCGGCCACACUGGGACUGAGACACGGCCCAGACGCCUACGGGAGGCAGCAGUAGGGAAUCUUCGGCAAUGGACGGAAGUCUGACCGAGCAACGCCGCGGGAGUGAAGAAGGGUUUCGGAUCGUAAAGCUCUGUUGUAAGAGAAGAACGAGUGUGAGAGUGGAAAGUUCACACUGUGACGGUAUCUUACCAGAAAGGGACGGCUAACUACGUG